AAUAGUUUUCAAUGUAAUAUACAAUGACAAAAGCAACUACAGUUUCUAGGUCUGAUAAGACUAUAUAAUGGUACAGUUUCUAGGUCUGAUAAGACUAUAUAAUGGUACAGUUUCUAGGUCUGAUAAGACUAUAUAAUGGUACAGUUUCUAGGUCUGAUAAGACUAUAUAAUGGUACAGUUUCUAGGUCUGAUAAGACUAUAUAAUGGUACAGUUUCUAGGUCUGAUAAGACUAUAUAAUGGUACAGUUUCUAGGUCUGAUAAGACUAUAUAAUGGUACAGUUUCUAGGUCUGAUAAGACUAUAUAAUGGUACAGUUUCUAGGUCUGAUAAGACUAUAUAAUGGUACAGUUUCUAGGUCUGAUAAGACUAUAUAAUGGUACAGUUUCUAGGUCUGAUAAGACUAUAUAAUGGUACAGUUUCUAGGUCUGAUAAGACUAUAUAAUGGUACAGUUUCUAGGUCUGAUAAGACUAUAUAAUGGUACAGUUUCUAGGUCUGAUAAGACUAUAUAAUGGUACAGUUUCUAGGUC